rnacentral:rRNA from 1 species
CGGUGAAUCCGUUCCCGGGCCUUGUACACACCGCCCGUCACACCACCCGAGUUGGGGGUACCCGAAGUCGCUUGCCUAACCGCAAGGGGGGCGGCGCCGAAGGUAUGCCUGGUAAGGGGGGUG